GAUAACUGUAGCUUUGAAACUUGAAUUUGGGGUUCAUCAUAACCAGAUCUUUGAGAGAACCAUAGCUGCACAUUUUACCGACCCUUUUGACGUGACCACAAGGGUGGCAAACAAAUGCAAUGAUGGCACUCUGGUCGUGCAGGUUAUGCUACAUUCUCUAGUCAAGGCCAACU